UCCGAAGGGGGCUAUCGUUGUUCGGAAUUACUGGGCGUAAAGGGCGCGUAGGCGGCGCGUUAAGUCAGGUGUGAAAGCCCUGGGCUCAACCCAGGAAUUGCACUUGAUACUGACGUGCUUGAAUCCGGAAGAGGAUGACGGAAUUCCCAGUGUAGAGGUGAAAUUCAUUGAUAUUGGGAAGAACACCAGUGGCGAAGGCGGUCAUCUGGUCCGGUAUUGACGCUGAGGCGCGAAAGCGUGGGGAGUAAACAGG
rnacentral:rRNA from 1 species